rnacentral:rRNA from 1 species
UACAGAGGUCUCAAGCGUUGUUCGGAUUCAUUGGGCGUAAAGGGUGCGUAGGCGGCGCGGUAAGUCGGGUGUGAAAACUCGGAGCUUAACUCCGAAACUGCAUUCGAUACUGCCGUGCUUGAGGACUGGAGAGGAGACUGGAAUUUACGGUGUAGCGGUGAAAUGCGUAGAUAUCGUAAGGAAGACCAGUGGCGAAGGCGGGUCUCUGGACAGUUCCUGACGCUGAGGCACGAAGGUCAGGGGAGCAAACGGG